CCAAUAGCGUAUAUUAAAGUUGUUGCAGUUAAAAAGCUCGUAGUUGAACUUCGGGGUUUACCCAUCGGUCAGGCUUGACUAGAAGUCUGUACUGGUGAGAUAAAUCUCUACCUUCUGAGGAACUUUCAUGCCAUUUAUUUGGUGUGAUGGGAAAUCAGGACUGUUACUUUGAAAAAAUUAGAGUGUUUAAAGCAGGCUAACGUCUGAAUACAUUAGCAUGGAAUAAUGAAAUAGGACGGAUUGGUUCUAUUUCGUUGGUUUCUAGGAUCACCGUAAUGAUUAAUAGGGAUAGUUGGGGGCAUUAGUAUUCAAUUGUCAGAGGUGAAAUUCUUGGAUUUAUUGAAGACUAACUACUGCGAAAGCAUUUGCCAAGGAUGUUUUCAUUAAUCAAGAACGAAAGUUAGGGGAUCGAAGACGAUCAGAUACCGUCGUAGUCUUAACCAUAAACUAUGCCGACUAGGGAUCGGACGAAGUUAAUUUUAUAAUGACGCGUUCGGCACCUUACG
rnacentral:rRNA from 1 species